GAGAUCAUGACCUGAGCCGAAGUCGGACACUUAACCGACUGAGCCACCCAGGCGCCCCUCAGGAUGCAUGACAAUCAAGUGUGCUCUUCAAUCCCCUUCAAGUUUUGGACCUGUUGUGUAAUUCCUACAGCACAUAAUCAAAGUGCUAUUUGAUCUAACUGGUUUGGGGUCUAUAUACAAUGAUCCCCUUGGAGGAGUCCCCAGAUGUUUUCCAGAUCAUUCAUUCCAUUGAUUCAGUACAAUUUAUUGGGUAUGUGUGUGUCAGGUACUAGUUAUGCAAUGAUGACUAAGAUAGUCCCUAUUCUCUGUCAGCCUCUUAUAGUAAAGUCUGUGAACUGACCACACAGAUGACCUGCAGAAGUCUGCUGCAGAUUCUCCUGCCCUAUUCCAGACCUCCUGAACCCAAAUCUCAGAGGCAAGGGAUUCUGCACUUUGAAGAUGUUCCCUAGAAGAAGGAGAUUUAUUUUCACAAAGCCUGGAAGUGAGGUGUUGUCCAGUGGUGAUGUGUCCACUCGUUUCUCCAACAAAGGUAAACUCUAAUUCCUAUAAACCUAAGCUAACUUAUAGUUCCUAUUACCCAACUUUGUCAGUGAAGAUCCCACGCAGGGAAGCUGACUGAAUAAGAAAUUACUUUGAGGCUAAAGAAGUGAAACAGUUGACAUUUAUUUAUAUGUUCUAUGGGUUUAGAGGGAAAGAAUAGCCAACUCCAAGUCAAGCAUAUUAAAAUAUGAAAAUUAAAAAGUCAGUGAAGGCUCAUACAAGUUUCUAGUAAUGUAAGCAUACAUCUCAUUCUGAAGCAAAAUCUUAUAUUAUCAAUUAGAGUUCCCAUUAUUUAUUGACUACUUGCCUACAGACUCUAAAGAAGCAAUUGUCUUUCUUUUUCAAAUGUAAAACAGAUGGAAAUUUGCUGUAUCAGGAAAAUCUAUAUUAAGCAAAAGAAAAUAUUUCCAAUAUUAUUUCCUAUAUUAUUUUGAUUUCAUCUCCUGCCUGAAACUCUUAUUUUUCACUUUCUGAGGAGUUAGCUAAAUUAGAAGUCAAGAAUCUGAAUGACUUUUCUCAAUAAUAAGCAUGUUUACACUGAAGCCAAAGUAACCUCUUGGUUUUAAAGUUUUGCCAAGUCACCAAAAAACAAUGUUUCUUUGGUUAAAAAUAAAGCUCUUUUGAUGUGAAAUCAAUGAGACCAUAAGAAAAAAGAAAACUGACUUUUUUUUUUUUUUUUUUUAAAUCAGGCUUCAAAGUUAAAAACCAGGAAAGUUUAGCUGCAUCACCAAAACUCUAGGUGCAGUCCUGUUGUUGGGCUAUU